UACGAAGGGGGCUAGCGUUGCUCGGAAUUACUGGGCGUAAAGGGCGCGUAGACGGACAGUUUAGUCGGGGGUGAAAGCCCGGGGCUCAACCUCGGAAUUGCCUUCGAUACUGGCUGUCUUGAGUACGGGAGAGGUGUGUGGAACUCCGAGUGUAGAGGUGAAAUUCGUAGAUAUUCGGAAGAACACCAGUGGCGAAGGCGACACACUGGCCCGUUACUGACGCUGAGGCGCGAAAGCGUGGGGAGCAAACAGG
rnacentral:rRNA from 1 species